AGCAGCCGCGGUAAUUCCAGCUCCAAUAGCGUAUAUUAAAGUUGUUGCAGUUAAAAAGCUCGUAGUUGAAUUUCGAGAUCAGUACGCUGGUCGUGCCUUCGGUAUGCACUGGUGUCACUGGUUUCUCCCUUCUGAAGAACCGUCAUGCCAUUCAGUUGGUGUGGCGGGGAAUCAGGACUGUUACUUUGAAAAAAUUAGAGUGUUUAAAGCAGGCUCGCGCUUGAAUACAUUAGCAUGGAAUAAUGAAAUAGGACGUUUGACCCUAUUUUGUUGGUUUCUAGGAUCGACGUAAUGAUUAAUAGGGAUAGUUGGGGGCAUUAGUAUUCAAUUGUCAGAGGUGAAAUUCUUGGAUUUAUUGAAGACUAACUACUGCGAAAGCAUUUGCCAAGGAUGUUUUCAUUAAUCAAGAACGAAAGUUAGGGGAUCGAAGACGAUCAGAUACCGUCGUAGUCUUAACCAUAAACUAUGCCGACUAG
rnacentral:rRNA from 1 species